rnacentral:lncRNA from 1 species
UUUUUUUUAACGUACAAUAGUUUGUGGUUAUGUCUUAGUAUUCUGGCUUUAUCUUACUGGUAGUUCAUUGAGCUUCUUGAAUUAAUAUGCUUGUUUCUUUCCUCAAAUUUAUAUUGUUUGGAACAUUUAGAGAAUGGGCAUUAUUUCUUUAAAUAAGCUUUCUGCCCCUCUCUCUUCCAUAAUGUGUGUAUUGGCUUGAUGGUGGUUCCAUAAGUCUCUUAGACUUUCUUCACUUUUCUUCAUUAUUCUUUUUGUUUCUCUGUCUUGGUUUGUUCUUUCUGUCUGAUAAAAUCGACUGCUGAACCCUUCUUGUGAUUUUUAAAAAUUUAAGUUAUUGAAUUUUUCAAUUCCAGAAUUUGCUUUUUCUUUUUUUCGAAGUUUAUUAGUAUUCUCAUUGUGUUCAUUGUUCUCCUGACUUUAUUUAAUUGUCUCUGUUCUUUCAGGUCAUUGAUCAUCUCUUAAGACAGUUGUUUAAAAUUCCUUGUCAGACAAUUCAGAGAUCUACAUUUCUUUAGGGUUCAUUUCUGGAGAUUGUUUCUUUGAUUGAACCAUGUUUCCCUGUACUUUUGUAUGCUUUGUGAUAUUGUAAUUGGAGCAUUUGAUAAAACAGCCACUUUUCCCAGUUUUUACAGACUGGCUUUGUGCAGGGGAAGACAACCUGCCUGGAAAUUCUGGAACCUCUCAAACUUUUCUUGGGGCUCUAUAUCUUCUCUGCCCUUGUGUGUGUGCUUUCAUUCCAGUACAUACGACUGAUUUCCACUUGUCUGAAUUUCCCUAAUAGGAGAUCCUCUGUUUCUCAGGAGCUAUUAUCAAUUCCUAUUAAAUUCCUCUGUACUCUUUUGCUCUCCAGAGCUUGCCUGUAGAUCUGCACACUUCUUGCUAGUAUAGUGCACUGCUACACUCCUUUCAGUGGCCUCCAGUCAGCAUUCAAACCAUGCCAUCAACUUCUAUCUAUGCUCUGGAUCAGAUGAAACAGAAAGCAGUCUCUCAGCCCCUCAGAUAAACCAGAGCGUUGGGCAGAAAUUUAUUUUCUUUUUGUCCUGAAGGACUUGCUGGGAAUUGGGAGGUUUGUUGGUAAUCAUAUCAUGCUGUGCUGGGACAGGGAAAGGUGAGCAAAAUGGUAUGAGGUUUCAUACCCUUUGCAGUGUAGCCUCCUCCUGGGUUUGCAUUUGCUAGAAUGCUGCAUUUUCUCAACUGGUGUCUAGAAUUUUCACAAAAAUACUUUGAUCAAUAUAUUGUUAAUUCAAUGCUUCUGUGGAAGAAUGAAGAAAGACAGGGAGAUCCCUAGUCUACCAUCUUGCUGAUAUCACUCUCCAUCUACCCUAACUUUUGUUAUCCAUUGAUAUUUAAUGCUUUACAGAAUAGUAUCUUGAUAGAAAACAUUCUUACCCAGCAAAUUUUAUCUACUUAUUUAUACAUGGUCUGUAUCAAAACUAUGAAUAGAUAAGCUGUUAGACAAAUUGACCUUUAAUUUUUAAAGUACUACCACCUUGUAUAUGAAGUUAAAUAGUUGUGAAUGCAGAAAUGUUUGGAAUUUAGUUUCCAUUCUUAAAGUAUGAUAUACUUAACUGAAUUUUGCUUAAUAACAAGAGUUCCUCAAAUUCUGCCAAAAACUGAUUUUAAAACUUAAAUCCUGGGGCCAGGUGUGGUGGUGCACACCUGCAACCACAGCAAGUUGGGAGGCUGAGGCAGGAGGAUCAGUCUCAGCAAUUUAGCAAGGCCCUAAGCAACCUGGUGAAACCCUGUCUCAAAAAAUCAAAAAGGCUGGGGAUGUAGCUCAGUGGUUAAGAACCUCUGGGUUCAAUCCCUGGUUAAAAAAAAAAUUGAAUCCUAGGAACCUCAAUCAGAAGUCUUUUCAUGAUAAUUUUAGAAAAAAGAUUUUUUUUUUUCCCUUCUGGUGGAAGAAGUUUUCUUGUAUCCCUUGUAUGUUUUACUUUCCCCAAUUAUUUUGGAAACUAUUUCAGAAAUUACAUAUUAACAUUAGAAAUUGUGUGUUUAUAGUUUCGAGAGAACAUUUGUAAUAACAAGAAGCAACUGUUAAAUAGGAAACAUUGAAACAUCAACUUUGUAUCACAUGUACUUUUAUUACUUUAGGUAUAAAUAUAUUUUUACUUAUUAAAAUUUUAAUUUCAAUUUCUUAUUUCUAAGCAAUUAUAAACUUCAUUAUGCUCAGUUAAUGUAUUCUAGUUGAUCUUUGUGAUAACUCUGUUAAUUAGAAUAUACUAGAAAUUUUAUAUUUUCAAGACAGGAUGUGAAUAACAAGUAAAAGUGGAUGAAUGAAAUUUGAACUAUAUUUAGUGCAACCCUACUUGUUGGGCUACCUAAUAUGGCUAUGGUGUGAUAAAACAGCAGCAGGGAAGGGUAAAGUUAUGGUGCAAAUUUAGAACCAUGUAUAUAUAAUAUAUGGUUAGCUAACUAGAAACAGACUUAUACAUUUCUCUAAAUAUAAAAUAUUUUCCUAUGGUGAUAGUCUUGUCUUCUCACAAGGGAAUGUCUAUUGAGUGUGUCCCCUGAAAGUUUGUGUUGUAAUCUUAUUCCUCAACACAGCCGUGUUGGAGGGGGCUUAGUGGGAGGAUUUUGGUUCGCUGGGGUGGAGCCCUAUGAACAGAUUAAUGCUUUCUUUUUUUUUAAUAUUUAUUUUUUGUAGUUGUAGUUGGACACAAUAACUUUUAUUAUUAUUAUUUUUUUAUAUGUGGUGCUGAGGAUUGAACCCAGGGCCUUGCACUAGCGAGGUAAGUGCUCACCGCUGAGCCACAACUCCAGCCCCCAGAUUAAUGCUUUCUAUGCAGGAAUUUUUUAGCUAACACAGAAGUUUAGUCCCCUUUUCUCUAUCACAGGUGCCUGCUUCCUCUUGUUUUUCUCUAAUGAGAUAAAGCAGCAUAUGACCCUAACUAGAUAUAGCCAGCCCUCUGGUUUUUCAAGCCUCUAGAACCAUGAGGCAAAAUAACACUUUUCCUUCAUAAAUUACCCAGUGUCAGCUGGGCCUGAAGGUGCACACUCAUAAUACCAGCAACUUGGGAGGCUGAGACAGGAGGAUCACAAGUUGAAGGUCAGUCUCAGCAACUUUGAGACUUUGUCUCAAAAUAAAAAAGGCUGGGGAUAUAGCUCAGUGGUAAAGCAUCCUUGGGUUGAAUCCCUAAAAAAUAAAAAUUAAAAAACCCCACCAAAAAACCCUACCCAAUCGAGUAUUUUGCUAUAGUAACAG